rnacentral:rRNA from 1 species
CCUACGGGAGACAGCAGUGAGGAAUAUUGGUCAAUGGACGCGAGUCUGAACCAGCCAAGUAGCGUGAAGGAUGACUGCCCUAUGGGUUGUAAACUUCUUUUAUAAAGGAAUAAAGCGAGGCACGUGUGCCUUUUUGCAUGUACUUUAUGAAUAAGGAUCGGCUAACUCCGUGCCAGCAGCCGCGGUAAUACGGAGGAUCCGAGCGUUAUCCGGAUUUAUUGGGUUUAAAGGGAGCGUAGAUGGGUUGUUAAGUCAGUUGUGAAAGUUUGCGGCUCAACCGUAAAAUUGCAAUUGAUACUGGCAGUCGUGAGUACAGUUGAGGUAGGCGGAAUUCGUGGUGUAGCGGUGAAAUGCUUAGAUAUCACGAAGAACUCCGAUUGCGAAGGCAGCUUACUAAACUGCGACUGACAUUGAUGCUCGAAAGUGUGGGUAUCAAACAGGAUUAGAUACCCUAGUAGUC